rnacentral:lncRNA from 1 species
UGAAAUAUGUACUGAGCAACUGAUAUUUCAGAAUCCUGGGCCCCGGAAGCCAAAGGAACCAUACAUGGGGAUAAUGCAGUAAGAAGGCCCUUACCAGACCCUGAUACCUCAACGUUGGAUUUCCCAGUCUCCAGAACGGGACCAAGAUCGGAUCUGGAAUGGCUACCCCUGCUGUUUUACCAUAAGCAGAGCAAGCCAAAUGCUAAGAGGACCCUUAAGAUUUCCUAACAAUAGGUAUGCGUGGAAAAGACAGAUGGCUUCCUUUGCACCUGAUAGAUUCCCACUGACUGAACAUCUGUGAGAGGAAUGGAAGAUCCUUGAGUAA